rnacentral:rRNA from 1 species
GACGAACGCUGGCGGCGUGCUUAACACAUGCAAGUCGAACGGAAAGGCCCCUUUGGGGGUACUCGAGUGGCGAACGGGUGAGUAACACGUGAGUAACCUGCCCUUGACUUCGGGAUAACUUCAGGAAACUGGGGCUAAUACCGGAUAGGAAUCCUUGCUGCAUGGUGGGGGUUGGAAAGCUUCGGCGGUUUUGGAUGGACGCGCGGCUUAUCAGCUUGUUGGUGGGGUAGUGGCUUACCAAGGCUUUGACGGGUAGCCGGCCUGGGGGGGCGACCGGCCACAUUGGGACUGGGAUACGGCCCAGACUCCUACGGGAAGCAGCAGUGGGGGAUAUUGCACAAUGGGCGGAAGCCUGAUGCAGCAACGCCGCGUGCGGGAUGGCGGCCUUCGGGUUGUAAACCGCUUUCAGCAGGGGCGAAGCUUGUGGUGACGGUACCUGCAGAAGAAGCACCGGCUAACUACGUG